UGCCUGAUGGAGGGGGAUAACUACUGGAAACGGUAGCUAAUACCGCAUAACGUCGCAAGACCAAAGAGGGGGACCUUCGGGCCUCUUGCCAUCGGAUGUGCCCAGAUGGGAUUAGCUAGUAGGUGGGGUAACGGCUCACCUAGGCGACGAUCCCUAGCUGGUCUGAGAGGAUGACCAGCCACACUGGAACUGAGACACGGUCCAGACUCCUACGGGAGGCAGCAGUGGGGAAUAUUGCACAAUGGGCGCAAGCCUGAUGCAGCCAUGCCGCGUGUAUGAAGAAGGCCUUCGGGUUGUAAAGUACUUUCAGCGGGGAGGAAGGGAGUAAAGUUAAUACCUUUGCUCAUUGACGUUACCCGCAGAAGAAGCACCGGCUAACUCCGUGCCAGCAGCCGCGGUAAUACGGAGGGUGCAAGCGUAAUCGGAAUAACUGGGCGUAAAGCGCACGCAGGCGAGUUUGUUAAGUCAGAUGUGAAAUCCCCCGGGCUCAA
rnacentral:rRNA from 1 species